rnacentral:rRNA from 1 species
UACGGGGGGAGCAAGCGUUGUUCGGAUUUACUGGGCGUAAAGGGCGCGUAGGCGGCGUGACAAGUCACUUGUGAAAUCUCCGGGCUUAACUCGGAACGGUCAAGUGAUACUGUCGUGCUAGAGUACAGAAGGGGCAACUGGAAUUCUCGGUGUAGCGGUGAAAUGCGUAGAUAUCAAGAGGAACACCUGCGGCGAAGGCGGGUUGCUGGGCUGACACUGACGCUGAGGCGCGAAAGCUAGGGGAGCGAACGGG